AAAUGACUCUCGGCAACGGAUAUCUCGGCUCUCGCAUCGAUGAAGAACGUAGCGAAAUGCGAUACUUGGUGUGAAUUGCAGAAUCCCGUGAACCAUCGAGUCUUUGAACGCAAGUUGCGCCCGAAGCCUUCUGGCCGAGGGCACGUCUGCCUGGGCGUCACGCAU
rnacentral:rRNA from 1 species